GGGAGGAUUCUUUUUUCUGGAGGUUGCUCCUUGUGGAGUUUUCUGUGAGCCUAUAACACUGAUAAAAAUUGAAAGAUGAAUGCAGACUUCUGAAGAACCUGGAUGAAGUACUUCUGCUCUUGAUCUCCCAGUUUUUGUAAUAUAAGAAAGGAAAAUAAAAAUCUGGUGAGGGUCUUGGUCACCUGCACAACAAACUGAGUUCAUGGAGAGGCACAUGUCAUCGUCAUCAGCAAUUAACACUAAGCACUAACUUAUUAUAGCACUUCAGUGUUUAUUUAUAAACACACUACAGAAUCAUGCCCAGCAGAAGAGUAUUUUUGCUUGAUGUGCUGAUGUAGGAUGAGGGCAGGUUGUGACUCAUAAGGAUGACUGCAUCUACUGCACAAACUUCAGUGAAGUCUGUAUUUAACAAAGAAUGAUCAGACCAUUUCCUGUGACUGCCAAGGUGGGCAGGGACAGAUGCACUUCCAGACAAAGGGCUUAAAUCUCUGCAAAAGGCUCUGAAGGAGAUGGGUUAUAAAAACAA